rnacentral:rRNA from 1 species
AUUGAACGCUGGCGGCAGGCCUAACACAUGCAAGUCGAGCGAGCGGCGGACGGGUGAGUAAUGUCUGGGAAACUGCCCGAUGGAGGGGGAUAACUACUGGAAACGGUAGCUAAUACCGCAUACACUCACAUGUGCCCAUAUGGGAUUAGCUAGACGGUGGGGUAACGGCUCACCUAGGCGACGAUCCCUAGCUGGUCUGAGAGGAUGACCAGCCACACUGGAACUGAGACACGGCCCAGACUCCUACGGGAGGCAGCAGUGGGGAAUAUUGCACAAUGGGCGCAAGCCUGAUGCAGCCAUGCCGCGUGUAUGAAGAAGGCCUUCGGGUUGUAAAGUACUUUCAGCGGGGAGGCGUUACGCGCAGAAGAAGCACCGGCUAACUCCGUGCCAGCAGCCGCGGUAAUAC